UAAUCAGAUGGUAGAGGUUUAGAAAUACAUAAAAGACCUGCUCCUCUAUUUAGAGGGCAGAUAGAACAUAAUGAUUGGAGUUUGCAUGAUUCAUGAUUAACAUCUCUGCGGGAUUAGGGCUUGCAACACCUAAUCACUCCUAUCUGAU
rnacentral:snoRNA from 1 species